UUAUGAAAUAAAUGAUAGUCGAACAAUACGAACAAUAGUUUAAAAUUUAAAGAAUUUGGCGGUGUCUUACAGGACCAGGGGAACCUGUCUCAUAACUCGAUAAUCCACGUCCUCUCAACCUUAUCUAGAAAUAUCAGCUUGUGUACUGCCGUCGUAAGCAUACCCCUAAAAGUAUUUAAGUAUGCAAUAAUGAUAUAACUCAUUUACGUCAGGUCAAAGUGCAGCUAAUGAUAAGGUGAUGAUGGGUUACACCCUAAAAAAAGACACGAACUAAAGCACUAAAAGCUUUAUAAAGGUGGACUUGGACGUAAUAUUUAUUCAAUAUUAUAAUGAAUCCGAAUCUAAGACAUGCACACAUCGCCCGUCACUCUCGCCUAAAGGCG
rnacentral:rRNA from 1 species